rnacentral:tRNA from 1 species
GGUUGUGGCUCAGUGGUAGAGGGCUUGCCUCCUAUGCUUGAGGCCCUGGGUUCAGUCCCCAGCACCA